GAUGAACGCUGGCGGCGUGCCUAAUACAUGCAAGUCGAGCGAACAGACGAGGAGCUUGCUCCUCUGACGUUAGCGGCGGACGGGUGAGUAACACGUGGAUAACCUACCUAUAAGACUGGGAUAACUUCGGGAAACCGGAGCUAAUACCGGAUAAUAUAUUGAACCGCAUGGUUCAAUAGUGAAAGACGGUUUUGCUGUCACUUAUAGAUGGAUCCGCGCCGCAUUAGCUAGUUGGUAAGGUAACAGCUUACCAAGGCAACGAUGCGUAGCCGACCUGAGAGGGUGAUCGGCCACACUGGAACUGAGACACGGUCCAGACUCCUACGGGAGGCAGCAGUAGGGAAUCUUCCGCAAUGGGCGAAAGCCUGACGGAGCAACGCCGCGUGAAUGAUGAAGGUCUUCGGAUCGUAAAACUCUGUUAUUAGGGAAGAACAAAUGUGUAAGUAACUAUGCACGUCUUGACGGUACCUAAUCAGAAAGCCACGGCUAACUACGUG
rnacentral:rRNA from 1 species